CACGGCACAGCACGGCACGGCACGGCUCCGCCACGCACCCCCGCAAAGUUCUUUACCCCAGAAACUGCUGCAGAGUGCCUUAGGAUAUGUUUCUGCUGUUACUUCUAAACACCUGGAAAAAAUUAUAGGGGAAGCGUGACUCAAGCCGUCUGUCACUGAGCAGAACUGCUGAGAGGGGAUGGCUGCUCAUUUCCAGACCCUUCCAGGCCUUGGGAAAACUCUGACAGCAGUGAGGUGCUUGACUAAAAACUGCAUGUCAUGGGUUUGUGAGCAACAUAUAAAGCGCUGUGUGCAUACAUGUUUAUAUACCUAAAAUG